UACGUAGGGUGCAAGCGUUGUCCGGAAUUAUUGGGCGUAAAGAGCUCGUAGGCGGUCUGUUGCGUCGGCUGUGAAAACCCGGGGCUCAACCCCGGACUUGCGGUGGGUACGGGCAGACUAGAGUGUGGUAGGGGAGACUGGAAUUCCUGGUGUAGCGGUGAAAUGCGCAGAUAUCAGGAGGAACACCGAUGGCGAAGGCAGGUCUCUGGGCCACUACUGACGCUGAGAGGCGAAAGCGUGGGGAGCGAACAGG
rnacentral:rRNA from 1 species